rnacentral:lncRNA from 1 species
GAGUUGACCACAGGAGGUUGAAAUCCUAUCAAUGAGGGUCUAUAAAUAUGUCAACUCGACUAUCACAGUAGAGCUUCUCUCGUAGAGAGAAGCGACAGGAAUGCAACGCGUUUUUCAAUUUUUUUUAACUUUUUUGAAUCUGGGACUUUUUGAUCGGAAUAAACGCUAUGCGUCAACUAAUAAACAUAUUGUUACUUCAAUUAACCACUUAAACUACUUUGCAGGUCACUAAUUAUUAAUUUACAGCUUCUUUUUACGUCCUGACAGAAUCCUUGUCAUUAUUUUUGGCCAUGGGAGGAAGUCGAGGAAAUUCCAAUCAGCAGUGAAUAUAUGUAAAUGAGGUAUAGUAUUUCAUGAAUAAACAUUAGAACAUUGAACUUUUGAACUUUUGAACCAUCAUGAACUUCCGGUUUCUUUCCCGCAAAAUUAUUUCUUUCUACCAGAGCUGUCAAAAUGGACAAUAGACGAGAAUUUUCGUUCGCCAAAGCAAGAGAGGGCCAUAAUUUGCUAAUUACAGGCAUGUGUGGAACAGGGAAGACAAGUAUUGUAAAGUAUGAGUAUAUUUCAUCAGCAAUUAGUAAAAAUGCGUGAUAAAAGUAAAACAUAAAAGCUCUGAAAAUUUGGCGCAAGUUAUUUUUGGUCGUAUGCCCUGUUUGCCUCGGGGUCCUUGAGGCAUAAAGAUUGUUCGAGAGAUUGUUACUUCAUCUCAACAUGAAAAAGCAUAAAUAAAACAGAAAAAAUAUAAUAUCUCGAGUUUUAUUCUAUUUUAUUCACGUAUGAAUUAAAAUUAUUGAUAAAAUUUGAUGAAAAAAAAUUGGCGCAUUUUUCUGAUAGUAUGCCAUGAAUGAGGAUUGGAUGUAUUCUUGGCAUGGUGGUCCUCUUAUUAUAAAGAUUAUAAAGAUUGUGAAUUAAAUUAAGGCACUGAUCAUUCAUCUUUUGAAUGAAAGUUGGGUGUUUUUUUUUUUUUGAAAAAAUGUUUGAUAAUUUCUGAAAUUUGUUAAAAAAAAAAGUUUUACGGGAGGGGAUAUAAAAACUGAACAUUAAACCCGGUACAAAUUUAUCAAGACAUUGAACCCGUGCUAGGAUACAAUUUAAAAAAAGGCAGGACAGGAUCAAAGUUUUGAGUGAAAAGCAGGAGGAGCAGCUGGACAAAUCAAUCCAGGAUUAAGUUAUAAAAAAGAGACGGGACCAAAUAUCACACAUAUAGUGAAAAAAAAAUAAAAAUGUUAGACAGAGAUUGCAACUAGAAAAAGGCAGCCCAAAAUAUAGUCCCCCCCCCUCCCCCCUACUAAAAUUAAAUCAUAGCCUAAUUCUAAACUAUAAACAGCCAUAACCAAAAUACCAAACAAACUGUAACUUCUAAGUAUGUGUGACUUGUCUUGUGUCUUGCAAGUCAAGAAAAUGAUUUGUUUCAAUAAAAAAAAUCUAUGUCCCAUGCAUAUUUUCAUUGGUCUUAUGCAUUGAGAAAUUUUGACCGGUCACUUAAACAGUUAGAAGUACAAAAAAAAUACAUUAUGUUUCAGAAAAAUAUUUGUUGUUUCUGUAUGCUAUAAAACAUUAGUUUGUUCCUUUAAAACAUAAAAAAGUUUGUUCUGAGAAAAUAAAGGUUUCCCACCCCUCUAAAGAUGAAUGGUUGGUGCCUUUUUAAAAACUUGAUAUCACACAUAUAAUCACCCAAUGCACCCUAAAAAUUAUAAAUUUGUUUUACAAACUAUAUGAUAGAAAUGUGUCCUUUAUAUUGUGUUCAGUACCCAGCUUGGCUUUUAUCUUUUAUUAUCCUUUUGCCUUGAUCAGCAGAGUAUACAUGUGGCAAGUGGUCGUCAAUCUCAACUUUACUCGAACACUGAUAACCAUUCAGAGCGGAUAUCUCAUUUUUGAUAGCAUCCUGAAAAAUAAAGUUCAUUGAAGAAUUUGUCACCAUGACCCUGGUCACCCAACAUUUCAUUCACCUCCAAAUCUAUUAGCAUAAUCUUCAGUCAUACAUUGUAUAUUCAAGGCAUCACACCCCGGGCUACUACUAAGUUACAUGGGAAAGAAUAAUGAAAUAUCCACAAUCUUACAGGAGCAUAGUCAAAGGCAUUUGUGGGUUCACACUUUUAUUUUUAUUUCUACAUGAAUAAGAUCUGGUGUGUGUGUGUGUGUGCCAAUGAGACAACUUUCCAUCCAAAUCACAAUGUAUUAAAAGUGAACAAUUAUAGGUCACAGUACAGCCUUCAACACAGAGCCUUACAUAAGACAGAACAGCAAGCUAUAAAGGGCCCCAAAAUGACCAGUGUAACUCAAUUCAAACAGGAAAAUAAAUUGUCUAAUCUACAUUGUAUUUACAAAACUAGAAACAAGAAACACCUAACAAACUACCAAUGACAAACACUGAACAACAGGUUCCUGGGUUAUGACAGGUGCAUAUGAUAUGCAGUUGGUUUGAAUAUUUUACCAAUUGCCAAUACAGCAGUAUAAAACUACAACACGAAAAGGCACACUGCUGUAAAAUGAUAAUUGAAAAUGGCUUAACUUAAAAUGGCAAUUGAACAAAAUACAUAAUAAAAAAGAAGAUGUGGUGUAAUUGCCAAUGAGACAACUCUACACAAGAGACCAAAGGACACAGAAAUUAACAACUAUAGGUCACUGUACGGUCUUCAAUAUUGAGCAAAGCCCAUACCGCAUAGUCAGCUAUAAAAGGCCCUGGAAUGAAAAAUGUAAAACAAUUCUAACGAGAAAACUAACUGCCUUAUUAAUGUACAAAUAAAUGAAAGAAAAAAAUAUGUGACACAGUAACAAACGACAACCACUAAAUUACAGGCAGGCUCCUGACUUGGGACAGGCACAUACAUAAAUAAUGUGGCGGGUUAAACAUGUAAGCGGGAUCCCAACACUGGGACAGUGGUGUAACAAUACAACAUAUAAGAACGAACUAUAAAAAUCAGUUGAAAAAGGCUCAACUCAUCAGAUGGAUAGAAAUACAUCUAACAAAAACAGAAUGGCUCAAUGUUUGUUAAUUGAAUGAACUGAAAUAUGCAUAUGAGGUCCCCUGAUUUGAACAAUUAAAUGACAAAAAUUUCACUUUACAAAUUUGUGUUUUCUAGAUAUUUUUUAGUUACCUGGCCCGAAGGGCCAAGUGAGCUUUCCCAUCAUAUGUCGUCGUCCUGCGUCCGUCGUUUAACUUUUACAAAAAUCUUCUUUGAAACUACUAAGCCAAAUUUAAUCAAACUUGCCACAAUCAUCAUUGGGGGUAUCUAGUUUAAAAAAUGUGUCCGGUGACCCCGCCAACCAACCAAGAUGGCCGCCAUGGCUAAAAAUAGAACAUAGGGGUAAAAUGCAGUUUUUGGCUUAUAACUCAAAAAACCAAAGCAUUUAGAGCAAAAUCUGACAUGGGGUAAAAUUGUUUAUCAGGUCAAGAUCUAUCUGCCCAGAAAUUUUCAGAUGAAUCGGACAACCCGUUGAUGGGUUGCUGCCCCUGAAUUGGUAAUUUUAUGGAAAUUUUGCUGUUUUUGGUUAUUAUCUUGAAUAUUAUUAUAGAUAGAGAUAAACUGUAAACAGCAAUAAUGUUCAGCAAAGUAAGAUUUACAAAUAAGUCAACAUGACCGAAAUGGUCAGUUUGACCCCUUAAGGAGUUAUUGCCCUUUAUAGUCAAUUUUUAACCAUUUUUCGUAAAUCUUAGUGAUCUUUUACAAAAAUCUUCUCCUCUGAAACUACUGGGCUAAAUUAAUCCAAACUUGGCCACAAUCAUCUUUGGGUAUGUAGUUUAAAAAAUGUGUCCGGUGACCCGGCAUCCAACCAAGAUGGCUGCCAUGGCUAAAUAUAGGACAUAGGGGUAAAAUGCAGUUUUUUGGCUUAUAACUCAAAAAUCAAAGCAGCAUUAGAGCAAAUCUGACCAGUAAAUUGUUUUAUCAUGUCAAGAUCUAUCUGCCCUGAAAUUUUCAGAUGGAUCCGACAACGGGUUGUUGGUUGCUGCCCAUGAAUUGGUAAUUUUAAGAAAAUUUUGACGUUUUUUGUUAUUAUCUUGAAUAUUAUUAUAGAUAGAGAUAAACUGUAAACAGCAAUAAUGACAGCAAAGUAAGACCUAAAGAUAAGUCAACAUGACAAAAAAUGGUCAGUUGACCCCUAAGGAGUUAUUGUCCUUUAUAGUCAAUUUUUAACAAUUUUCAUAAAAUUUGUAAAUUUUUACUAACAUUUUCCCCUGAAACUACUGGGCCAAGAUCAUUAUAGAUAGAGAUAAUUGUAAGGAGCAAGAAUGUUCAGUAAAGUAAGAUGUCAAACACAUCACCAUCACCUAAACAAAUUUGUCAUGAAUCCAUCUGCUUCUUAGUUUAAUAUCACAUAUACCAAGGUGAGCGACACAGGCUCUUUAGAGCCUCUAGUUUGAAAUAGUUAAAAAAAAUCAUUUGAAGGCGUUUUCAACAUAAGACAGGCCCUGGGUGAAAUAAGUUUUAAAGAAUUUUUUUUUUUUAUCUUGAACAUCAUUACAGAUUGAGAGUUAAAAACAGCAAAAAAUAUUAAGCAAAAAAGAUCUACAAAAUAAAUCAACAUGACCUUAUUGCAGUUAUUAGUCCCCUACCAACAAAGUUGAAGGGGACUUUAGGUUUGCACUCUGUCGUCUGUCUGUCUGUCCGUCAGUCCGGCAAAUCAGCUUUCCACACUUUUUAUGCCCCCACAACUAAAAGUUGGGGGGCAUAUUGUUUUACCCCCGUCCGUCCAUCCGUCCGUCCCAUUAUAGGUAUAUAGUUAUUCCGGAUAACUCAUCCUACAGUUUGAAUGCUAGGAAGUUUUCACUUUGCAAUCUGUUUGUACAUAUAUUAAAGGUGUGCAUUUGGUCAGGGUUUUGAUUUUUAUUAUUAAUAUUUGCUCUUUUGGGAGAUAGUUGGACUUAGUAAUUUUUGGAGUAUAAACAUGCAAAAGAGGUGCAUAGCGUUUCCUAAUAACUCCUCCUACAGUUUAAAUGCUAGGAAGUUUUCACUUUGCAAGCUGUUUGUACAUAUAUAUUGAAGGUGUGCAUGUGGUCAGGUUUUGAUUUUUGUCUCGUCUGCGACUUUUGUCGCAAAAAGCGAGACUUAGGGAUAGUGAUCCGAUGGCUGCGUUAGCUCUUGACUUAGAGCUUAAUAUUUCAGAAGGUAGACCUGGAUACUUCAUACUUUUCAUGGAUCAGUGAACAAGGUUAAGUUUACAGGGUUAAGUCCAUAUCUAAAAACUAUAAGCAAUAGGUAUUCUAUAUUUGGUGUGUGGAAUGAUUGUACAUGUCCAACUGACAGGUGUCAUCUGACCUUGACCUCAUUUUCAUGGUUCAGUGGUCAGUUAAUUUUUUGUGUUUUGGUCUAUUUCACAGAUACUAUUAGCAUUCUGUCAAUUAUAUUUGGUGUAUGGAAUGAUUGUAAGGUGUACAUGUCCAAGUGACAGGUGUCAUCUGACCUUGACCUCAUUUUCAUGGUUUGAAAACCCAUGGACAACCUCACAAGACAACGUCCAGGGAUGUCAACAAAAACCUUGGUAUCAUUUACAGUACACUGAAAAACUAUCCAAAAACUAUAAAAUAUGUAUAACAUAAUUAUUUUCAUAACUAACUAUUACAGGAAGAAGUGAAAUAUUUUCAUCACAAGAACACAGGAUGUUAACUGGAUUUUUUUUCAGUUAAGUAUAUAUAUAUAUAUUAAUCAGUAACUAAAAUAGAAAAUCAAAAAUGCCCCAGAUUUAACAGUCAGGGGUAUGACUCAAACAAGUGAUUUCAUUAUCGCUUAUUUCAGUGAUUUUCAAAUUUCAGUAAUCACCUAUUUAAGUGAUUUUGGUGUUUUCUUUGAUCUUCAAAUGCUGAUUUCACUAAUUUUCCAUGAAAUGGCAAUUUUUUCUGAAAUUUGUCUACAUAGAUCAAUUAUCUCUUUAUCUUGAUAUAUCAAUUUUAUCAGUGCGCUUGGGCAGCAAGUUAGUGCGCUGAAGCUUUUAAAAGAACCCUUGGGACUAUUUCUGUCUUCUAUAUACUAUAUUUCUAGAGUUUACUACUCUACCAAUAACAUAAAGGUCAACACAUUUAUGUAAUCUGCUUUGUUUUCUUUAUAAUUAGUAUGAUUUACUUCAAGGUUUUGACCGUAUCUACAAAUUAUCCCAGUUUAAGCAUAAUCCAAAUAAAUUUUAAAAACUGACAAAAUAAUUUAGCAAAAGAGCAUUUUUGCAUGUAUUCAGUUGUAUUUUCAAUAGAAUAGUUUUUUUAACCCUAUGUAAAUCUAGAUUGUGGGUAAAUUAUUGAGAAAAUGUUAUAAUAAGUGAUUUAAUGUUUACAUCUCAAAUCACUUAUGCAAGUGAUUUUAAAAAGUGUUUCUAAUUUUAUAAACAUUUUUCAUUUUUCAAUAGCGCAAUCACUUUAAUAGGUGAUCCUGAAAUCACUUGUUUAAGUAGUACCCCUGACUGUUUAAUGUUUAGUCAAUAAAUUCAAUGUUUUAAAUAAUAUCAAACGUACCAGGCUUUUAAUGUUAACCAGACACCUGUUUUGUGUAAUCAACACUUAUCAGUGACUCAAAUCGAAAUAUUAGUUAGGCAAAAAAAAAAUCUAGAGCAUAAGACAAAAUGAUAUUUGAUAUAAGUGCCAAUAAGACAAUGUAAUAGUUAUGUAAUUUAUGACACAGGUAUUGACUCACUCCAAAGAGCAAGCUAUAAUGGCCAAGGCAUUGCCAGUGUAAAACAAUUUAAAAGGAAAACCAACACAUACAAAACAGGAAAAACUGAUGACCAAUAAAUGAUUUUUUUCGUGGUAAAAAGUCAAUAUUCCAGAUACAAUAAGAACUAGACUUGCCAUUGCGAGCAAUAGCAGAUGUCACCCCGUUCCCCCAUUGCCAGGCCAUCUGGCCGUUUCCAUGACAACGGCAGCCAUUUUGAAAUUUCCAAAAGUCAAAAAACAUAUCUUUAUAUGCUAAAUCAACUGUCUAUAAAGUUUCAUAAAAUUUGGAGAAUUUUGAAAAUUUUCGAGUUUUUUGCCAUUUCUAUGGUAAUAAUAAUAAGCUAAUAAGAAUAGAUCUUUUAUAUUUGUCGUUUGGAAUGAUUGUAAGGUACACACGUCCAACUUUCAGGACAUUAAGUUUUACAUCAUUAAGAAUUGCAUUUUACAGUCAAUACAUUGUAGUACUUUUAUUAUUUCAGUGAAAUAUUUGUUUAUUUCAUUACAGGAGCACAGGAGCACUGGACAUUUAUUGAUUCUUUCCAUAGCAACACCACCAACAGCAGCAAAAAAGUUCAAGCAUUUCAAGAAUGGAAUGUUCUGUCCAAACAAACAUGUCUAUCACACCUUCAAGAGCUGAUAUUGGAAUCAUUAUUAGUAGAAUGGAAAACAGGGAUAAAAUCUAGCAAAAGGCCCAGUCGCACAUGGCCCCUAGAUUUUGAGCUGGGCUACUAAAUUACCUGGAAAAUAUACUGACUCAAAGACAGACUGAAAUACAGACAUUGACUGAAGAAAUGAAUGAGGACAAAGAAAAGAUGGGAGCAGAUUACAAACAAAAGCUUGCUAAUAUAGAAUCCAUACUGAAGAAAGAAAUGGCAAAUCAGAAUGAUUUAAUGAAUGAAUUAAAACAAAAUAAAGAAAUAAAGAGUCAAUGAGCUUCAGUCUGCUCUUCGUGAAAAAAGAAC